rnacentral:rRNA from 1 species
GACGAACGCUGGCGGCGUGCUUAACACAUGCAAGUCGAACGGAAAGGCCCUGCUUUUGUGGGGUGCUCGAGUGGCGAACGGGUGAGUAACACGUGAGUAACCUGCCCUUGACUUUGGGAUAACUUCAGGAAACUGGGGCUAAUACCGGAUAGGAGCUCCUGCUGCAUGGUGGGGGUUGGAAAGUUUCGGCGGUUGGGGAUGGACUCGCGGCUUAUCAGCUUGUUGGUGGGGUAGUGGCUUACCAAGGCUUUGACGGGUAGCCGGCCUGAGGGGGUGACCGGCCACAUUGGGACUGAGAUACGGCCCAGACUCGUACGGGAGGCAGCAGUGGGGAAUAUUGCACAAGGGGCGGGAGCCUGAUGCAGCAACGCCGCGUGCGGGAUGACGGCCUUCGGGUUGUAAACCGCUUUCGCCUGUGACGAAGCGUGAGUGACGGUAAUGGGUAAAGAAGCACCGGCUAACUACGUG